rnacentral:rRNA from 2 species
UAAACGACUCUCGGCAACGGAUAUCUCGGCUCACGCAUCGAUGAAGAACGUAGCAAAAUGCGAUACUUGGUGUGAAUUGCAGAAUCCCGUGAACCAUCGAGUUUUUGAACGCAAGUUGCGCCCGAAGCCACCCGGUUGAGGGCACGUCUGCCUGGGCGUCACGC